rnacentral:ncRNA from 1 species
AGAGCUGCUCCUAGUACGAGAGGACCGGAGUGGACGAACCCCUGGUGUUCGGGUUGUGUCGCCAGACGCAUUGCCCGGUAGCUACGUUCGGACAGGAUAACCGCUGAAAGCAUCUAAGCGGGAAGCCCCCUUCAAGAUAAGUUUUCCCUAACUCCUUGAGAGUUCUAAAGGGCCGUUGAAGACUACAACGUUGAUAGGUCGGGUGUGUAAGUGCUGCGAGGCAUUGAGCUAACCGAUACUAAUUGCCCGUGAGGCUUGACCAU